GAUGAACGCUGGCGGCGUGCUUAACACAUGCAAGUCGAACGGAAAGGCUCCUGCUUGCAGGGGUACUCGAGUGGCGAACGGGUGAGUAACACGUGGGUGAUCUGCCCUGCACUUCGGGAUAAGCCUGGGAAACUGGGUCUAAUACCGGAUAGGACCAUAUUUUGGAUGGUGUGGUGGAAAGUUUUUCGGUGUGGGAUGAGCUCGCGGCCUAUCAGCUUGUUGGUGGGGUAAUGGCCUACCAAGGCGUCGACGGGUAGCCGGCCUGAGAGGGUGUACGGCCACAUUGGGACUGAGAUACGGCCCAGACUCCUACGGGAGGCAGCAGUGGGGAAUAUUGCACAAUGGGCGCAAGCCUGAUGCAGCGACGCCGCGUGGGGGAUGACGGCCUUCGGGUUGUAAACUCCUUUCGCUAGGGACGAAGCGCAAGUGACGGUACCUGGAGAAGAAGCACCAGCUAACUACGUG
rnacentral:rRNA from 1 species